rnacentral:rRNA from 1 species
UGGGGAAUUUUGCACAAUGGGGGAAACCCUGAUGCAGCGACGCCGCGUGAUUUAGAAGGCCUUCGGGUUGUAAAAAUCUUUUCUAUGGGAAGAAAAUGACAGUACCAUAGAAGAAAGCUCCGGCUAAAUACGUGCCAGCAGCCGCGGUAAUACGUAUGGAGCGAGCGUUGUCCGGAAUUAUUGGGCGUAAAGGGUACGCAGGCGGUUUAAUAAGUCGAAUGUUAAAGAUCGGGGCUCAACCCCGUAAAGCAUUGGAAACUGAUAAACUUGAGUAGUGGAGAGGAAAGUGGAAUUCCUAGUGUAGUGGUGAAAUACGUAGAUAUUAGGAGGAAUACCAGUAGCGAAGGCGACUUUCUGGACACAAACUGACGCUGAGGUACGAAAGCGUGGGGAGCAAACAGG